ACGUACCGCAUGUCUGCGACCAUUCCUCCCCUUUUCUCUCGCCAUUAACUCAACGCAAUGAACGUUUCGGAAAAUGAAAUACAUAUGAGAUUUCAAAAUGAUUUCUUCCUUCUAGGUUUUCGGUUUGAUCCACUUCUGCAACCCAAAUCUCAUAGCUUUAUGGUUUGAUUCACUUUUCUUCGAAAGGCACUUCAUUUUUGAUGAACUCAUUUGCUAGGGUUACAGUAAGAAAUUUAUUCCUACCUACCACUUCAGUUCCUAUAAUCUCCGAAUGCCGAAAUUAGGGUUCUUGAUUGAUUUUCUGUAACGAAAGUAAAAAACCCUCAUUCAAUGGCAUUAACAUCCACGUUAUCUCAUUCAUUGUAUGAGAUUAUCUGAAGUAUGCAACUCAUUCAAAAAUCUCUGCAACUGUUUAUCAGAUAAUGAUAUAAUAGACAAACUAUUAAACAAGGAAUUUCACAGAUUGUAUAUGAAGCUCAUAUCAAUUGAAUGGUUUCCUGAUGAAUCUGAUCCUGGAUUUCAACAUGUGCACAGUACUAAGAAAACUGUGUUGAUCACAAGGAUUUGCAGGGAGAAAUUUGAUGAUAAGAAGGAGUGAAGGACAGUAGCGAUAGAGGCCUAGAUGAAGAUAGAAGAAACUCAAAUGUUGAAGAAGAAGAUUCUUCUGUUAUAUCACAAAUUGUUUCAUGUGAAUCGUGAAGAUUAAUCUGCUGAAGAUUUAGAGUAAUUUGGUUCGGAGAAGAAUAAAGAGGGAUGCUUUCUAAUGAUACGAAGGAGCAGAGAUAUGGAUAUGCAUCAAGUUUCUCAUACUAUGCCUUGAGUUAUGAUGACCUGAUGGCACUUGAAGAUAUCAGGUGUUUGGCCUUGGAGAAGGUAGCUGAAUCCUUUGAGCCUCCCUUGCAACUGUUGCUCCCUUGGAUGCCCAGAGAUAGUUUUCUUCUACGGUAAGCUCUAUCAUGAGGCUCUGUGUAACUGCAGUAUUUUUCUUCUACAGAAGUAGAGAAACUUGGUGCUCAUCUAACACCAGUUAAUCGCGGGAUCAAGAGUUUUUCCCCGUCGUUCAUUGUGUACAACCAACAUUUACAUUAGAGACUCGACUAAUAUAGUAGAUUAUUGUCUGUUUCUUUUGAGGUUGUUUAAUUAUCAAUUUCAUUUGGACAUCAUAAUAUCUUGGAUUUUGGUUUUAGGGGUUUGCUAAUUGUUGUAAUUUGCACCAUCUCCGUAUUUGUUUCCUUUAGAUUUUGUCCAGCUCAACAAGUCAGAAUUUAUUUCUUUUUAAA